rfam:Bacteroides sp. CAG:530 genomic scaffold, scf273
AGCCGUGCUUGCAGAAUCGGGAAACUCAUCAAAUUUUAAUGAAAUACCGAGAACAGCUUCAUCUCCCAAUGGCGGGCCACGCCUUCGGGUAGCAUUUAUGCCGGUGGAUUACAAAGGGGGAGAGCACUCAAAACUUGUUUUUCGGAGUUUCGUCACGCCUCAGGCACGGCUUUUUUA